rfam:Myotis davidii contig34230, whole genome shotgun sequence.
AGCAGUUCUCGGGUGGCGCACCCUGGAAUCAGGCUCCCUCCUCUCUGGUUCUGGGGUGCAUCACCGGAGAGCCGCU